rnacentral:rRNA from 1 species
GUCCAGACUCCUACGGGAGGCAGUAGUGGGGGAUAUUGCACAAUGGGGGGAACCCUGAUGCAGCGACGCCGCGUGGGUGAAGGAGUAUUUCGGUAUGUAAAGCCCUAUCGGCAGGGAAGAAGCAAGACGGUACCUGACUAAGAAGCCCCGGCUAACUACGUGCCAGCAGCCGCGGUAAUACGUAGGGGGCAAGCGUUAUCCGGAUUUACUGGGUGUAAAGGGAGCGUAGGCGGUUUAGCAAGUCAGAAGUGAAAGCCCGGGGCUCAACUCCGGGACUGCUUUUGAAACUGUUGAACUAGAUUGCAGGAGAGGUAAGUGGAAUUCCUAGUGUAGCGGUGAAAUGCGUAGAUAUUAGGAGGAACACCAGUGGCGAAGGCGGCUUACUGGACUGUAAAUGACGCUGAGGCUCGAAAGCGUGGGGAGCAAACAGGAUUAGAUACCCUAGUAC